AGUCGACGAUGAAGCCUUUCGGGGUGGAUUAGUGGCGAACGGGUGAGUAACACGUGGGCAAUCUGCCCUUCACUCUGGGACAAGCCCUGGAAACGGGGUCUAAUACCGGAUAAUACUCUGUCCUGCAUGGGAUGGGGUUGAAAGCUCCGGCGGUGAAGGAUGAGCCCGCGGCCUAUCAGCUUGUUGGUGGGGUGAUGGCCUACCAAGGCGACGACGGGUAGCCGGCCUGAGAGGGCGACCGGCCACACUGGGACUGAGACACGGCCCAGACUCCUACGGGAGGCAGCAGUGGGGAAUAUUGCACAAUGGGCGAAAGCCUGAUGCAGCGACGCCGCGUGAGGGAUGACGGCCUUCGGGUUGUAAACCUCUUUCAGCAGGGAAGAAGCGAGAGUGACGGUACCUGCAGAAGAAGCGCCGGCUAACUACGUGCCAGCAGCCGCGGUAAUACGUAGGGCGCAAGCGUUGUCCGGAAUUAUUGGGCGUAAAGAGCUCGUAGGCGGCUUGUCACGUCGGUUGUGAAAGCCCGGGGCUUAACCCCGGGUCUGCAGUCGAUACGGGCAGGCUAGAGUGUGGUAGGGGAGAUCGGAAUUCCUGGUGUAGCGGUGAAAUGCGCAGAUAUCAGAGGAACACCGGUGGCGAAGGCGGAUCUCUGGGCCAUUACUGACGCUGAGGAGCGAAAGCGUGGGGAGCGAACAGGAUUAGAUACCCUGGUAGUCCACGCCGUAAACGUUGGGAACUAGGUGUUGGCGACAUUCCACGUCGUCGGUGCCGCAGCUAACGCAUUAAGUUCCCCGCCUGGGGA
rnacentral:rRNA from 1 species